UAGAUUUUGGUGUUAGCAAGCUGUGUGACCAGGGAACAGCCACCUUCCCUCUCUGGACCUCAGAGUGCUCACGUAUAAAGUGAUGAAAUGGCAGAGAAUGCUGUGCGUUCACCAAAUCCCAUCUUGCCUUCCUGAAUACUCAGAUUAUAAUUCCCAGUCUCCUUUGUACUUAGAUGGGGCUGUGGAAUUGUUCUGUGGCUUGUGCAGUGUCGGUGGAAGUGGGAUAAACCUCUUGUGCAGCCCCAACUCACUCUCUCUGUGCUGGAGAGAUGUAGGAGAUUUGAUGGAGGAUGCUGAAGUCCUAGGAGAUGUUAGAGCCAUGCGAUGGAAGAGUCCUGGUCCCCGAGUGACUGUAUGGAACAGAGACCCCACUGCAUUGGAACAUGAGAUAAGUGAGAAAUAAACUUUGGACACAGGUGUUAUUGUCAUGGUGAUUGGCAUAUACAGGUCGGGUAGACCAGAUGAUAAGAUUUCCAACUGUGCCUAUGGAGGACCUUACUGGGGAUAGAGGUGGACAGGAUCUGAAUGCUCUGACUCCUGCUUUCAAAUUAGACUUAUUGUUGAGAUUUUGCUGACAGAAGAGGGUCCCUAGUUAAAGUGAGACUGAGAAACACUGGACAAGAUAAUUGCAAUGACUCUUGCCCCUCUCAGUGGUUGAGUGAUACUGAAAUCUGGGCCAUAGCCUCAUCUCUGCUGAGGUUCCCUCUACCAUGUCGGAGACCCUCAUGUGUUUGGAUGGGCUCCACUGGGCAGGUUCUGGGAAGGACAGAUGGUGAGCAAAUACUGACUUUGGACCAGACUAUGUUCUACUCCCUACUUCUAAAGACUUUACAUUUUAGUGGACAGAAAACAUGGAGCCACGUAUUUGAGAAAAAUAUUUGUGUAGUAGAAAAAAGCAGAACGAUUAGAAGGCGGAGGAUUGAACUCUGGUCUGGCCCUCUAACUAAUUUGCUGACUAUUCUUGGGUCUCCAAUUUCCUUUAUCUCCUGGACUCAAGUGAUUCUCCCUCCUUUGCCUCCCAAAGUGCUGGGAUUACAGAUGUGAGCCACCAUGCCCAGCUCCCAAUUUCCUCCUGUAUAAAAUCAGAGAAUCACUGGAUACAUUCCAACUAUCACUUUUGGUUCUUCAAAUUUUUCUGAUGCCAUCAUCUACAAAGCAGCUUUGUCUGGGUUGGUAUCCAGAGUGAUUAUGGCACCUGUGUGCUCAGCUGAUUGAGGACAAAUGGGCAAGGACAAAGAACAAAACACUUUGUGGCUGCAGAAGCCACCUGUGUCCUAAACUUGCUCUGUAGACAUUUUCUUUCUGUCCCAAAGAAUAUUGUAGCAACAAAACUUGACUUGUGUAGUACAGUACUUUGGUCUGGAGCUGGUGGGGAGAUGGGGUAGCCAUGGUUCUGCACUUCAGAGCCACCUUAACGAUGCAAUUCCAGGCUCCCUGCAAAUUUGGCAGUGGAAUAGUGUGAUGGCCAAGGAGACAGCUUUGCUAUUGUCAGACAAACCUGGGUUUGAAUUUCCACCUAAAUCUCAGCUCUACCACUUACCAGGUGUGUGACAUUAGACAAGCUGCCUAACUUCUCUGAGCUUCAAUUUCCUCAUCUGUAAAAUAUAGAUAAAAUCGGAGGUAAAAAAGUGUUGUUAAGUAUUUAAUUGAGACAAUAUGAUGAUCCUGAUAAUAAAAAAUGAUGAUGAUAACCAUGACAGCUAAGAUUUCUUAGGCAUCUAUAAUGUGUCAGACUUUGGGUCCUGCAUUUUGUUUGUUUUAUCUCAUUUCAUCUUGACUGCAGUCCUCUAAAGUAUGUACCGUGCGUGUAACAUGCUUGGCACAGGUUCCUGCACAUAAAAGAUGUUGGAUAUGUGAUUCAGUCAUCCAUUCACUCAUUCAUUCAUCUAUUUACUCAUUCUACACAUCAUUUUUGAAUGCCUACUGUGUGUCACGCAUUGUGCGAAGUCCUUGGCUCCCUGGCAUGUGCAGUCAAGGAGAGGAAUGGUCAUCCAACAACUAAUUAUACAACUAAUAAAUGAAUUGCAAUUGGGCAGCUUUAAGAAUACUGAGGGAUGAGAUCUGAUUCCUGGCCAGGGGAAUCUGGGCAGUCAUUCUGGAGGAGGUGGCAUGACCUGGUCCAGGAAGAACAGGUGAGCCUGGUAGUGAGACACUAGGAAAAGGCUUCCCAAGGAGAGGUCAGUGGAAGCAGAGCCAUGGGAGCGGGAGAGCCGAGGGGAUAUUGAAUGUCUGCCAGGAAACUUGUGGAUUGAUACAGGAGUCCAUCAGGCUGGGCAGUGGGAUGGAGGGCUGGCCAGCCACGUGACGAAGGGUCUCAACUGUGGGGAUGAGUGUGGGGCUUUAUUCUGUAAGCCAAGAGACACCACCCUAAGUCCCAGAGCAACAUCAACGGGAACUUGCUCUUCACUGGAGAUGGCAGCUUGUUUGAAGUUCUGACUCAGCUGCUCAUCGGCUGCAUAACCUCAGGUGAGACAUCUGACAUUUUGAGCCUCAGUUUCCUCAACAGUAAAAUGGGGACAACACCACCCACUUAAAGUUAUGAAGUUUAAAUGAGACGGCAUUUGUGAACCUCCUUUGCAAAUGCAAAGCCCUGAGCACAUGCAUAGUUACUUAUUCCGACUGCUCCUGGCCAGUGGAAUGGAAGGUCACACCCGGUGUCCUCUGAUGUUCCUUCUGGUUCCAAAAUCCCAAUUCAGAAAGAGAGGGCAGGUCAUGCCCAAGUUAUGAAUAGUGCCCAAUAAGGAUGGGAGAGCCUGACUCUAUGAGUUGACCCGGACAUCAAAACCACAUAUUGUUCUCGACACCAUAAAGUGUCUUGCAGAAAAUCAGAGACUAUUUCUAUGUGUUUAGAGGAAAAAAAAAUCUGAGAAGUUUUAACUAGCUUCCCUUAAUUAAUUAAGUAAGCCAAUCAACUUUUUUUCUCAUUGCUGAUGAUAACAUUCCCUUGGUCUUUUCUAAACCUUGGAAGAGAAACAGACAUUGCUUUGCUACGGCUCGGCAGGCACUAGGAUAGAAGGUUCAGUUUGUGAGGUUCCUUCCUGUUGCAGCUAGUUUUCAUGUCGGGUUACCAGCAGGGUGUGUUAGGAUGCUCCCGAGGGGGUCAGGUGAGGGACACAGGGUCACUCUCUUAGUGAGUCCUGUGAAACACUAACAUUAACAUAUUAAUUCACAAAGCUCUCAGUUAAUGCCAGACCUCCAAAUUGAAUCAUUCUCUGUUGUUCUGAUAUGCUCUAAGAUCUCUUUUGGAUGGGAGAGUGUGAAUGUAGUUGACUUUUAGAAUCUGAGGUUAUUUUAUUUAUUUUUCGAGUGUGGGCUUAUUCUUGCUUUCACCUGACAGGUUCUCUAACACCGUGAAUACCAAAAAGAAGGGAUUCCACGGUGCCUUCAAAAUGUACAGCUGUCUUUCCUCCCAUGAAAGCCCAGGGAUGGAGUUGGUUUACUUUUGAAUGCUUCCCAUUAGCACACACGGAUGACAUCCAGCCCUUGAACCAUGUUUAAUUGAAAAUGGCAAAUAAACAUUGCCCAGCCGGAGCUCCCGUGCCUGGAAGCUAAAUUAAAAGGAAAAAUGACCAGCUUCCUGACUGUCCACACGGCCUUUCCAUAUGUAACGUGGGAUGUUGCAUUUGGAGUUGCAUUAAUUUUUUAUCAUUCCUUAGUAAUUAACAUUGUAUUUCUGCUGAUAAACCCCAUCAAUAUGGUGAUUUGAUUAUCACAACAUAAAACUACUCAUUAAACUCC
rnacentral:lncRNA from 1 species